AUUCGAGAAUCUUUCAUUUGGUGCAUUGGCCGGGAAACAGCGCGACCACCCAGAGGUCCUAGACCCACUUAGAGGUAAGAUUCUUUGUUCUGCUUUGGUCUGAUGUCUGUGUUCUGAUGUCUGUGUUCUAAUGUCUGUGUUCUGUUUCUAAGUCUGGUGCGAUCGCAGUUUCAGUUUUGCGGAUGCUCAGUGAGACCGCGCUCCGAGAGGGAGUGCGGGGUGGAUAAGGAUAGACGUGUCCAGGUGUCCACCGUCCGUUCGCCCUGGGAGACGUCCCAAGAAGAACAGGGGAGGAUCAGGGACGCCUGGUGGACCCCUUUGAAGGCCAAGAGACCAUUUGGGGUUGCGAGAUCGUGGGUUAGAGUCCCACCUCGUGCCCAGUUGCGAGAUCGUGGGUUCGAGUCCCACCUCGUGUUUUGUUGCGAGAUCGUGGGUUCGAGUCCCACCUCGUGUUUUGUUGCGAGAUCGUGGGUUCGAGUCCCACCUCGCGUCUGGUCACGGGAUCGUGGGUUCGAGUCCCACCUCGUGUUUUGUUGCAAGAUCGUGGGUUCGAGUCCCACCUCGUGCAGAGGGUCUCAAUUGGCCGGCCUUAGAGAGGCCAUCUGAUUCUUCUGGUUUCUUUUUUGUCUUAGUCUCGUGUCCGCUCUUGUUGUGACUACUGUUUUUCUAGAAAUGGGACAAUCUGUGUCCACUCCCCUUUCUCUGACUCUGGUUCUGUCGCUUGGUAAUUUUGUUUGUUUACGUUUGUUUUUGUGAGUCGUCUAUGUUGUCUGUUAUCUAAGUGUCUAAGUGUGGCACCGCUGAAUUUCUGUCUUUGUUUUUCAGUUCUGAGAUUGUGGGUUUGAGUCCCACCUGUGUUAAAUAGCGUUUGGCUUGGCUGGUUGUACAAGUCCAGGCGCGGACGAGUGUGCUUAGAGAUACUGGUGUCUUCUUUUUCUCUGUUGCUAUCUUGUUUUUGUUUGUGGUUUACGGUUUUUGUGUGUGUCUUUUGUGUCUCUUUGUGUUCGGACUUGGACUGAUGACUGACGACUGUUUUUAAGUUAUGCCUUCUGAAAUAAGCCUAAAAAUCCUGUCAGAUCCCUAUGCUGACCACUUCCUUUCAGAUCAACAGCUGCCCUGCCUCCCACUCCAACUCCAGAGAGCAGCCAGCGGGUCACAGUGGUCCCGCCCAUGGACCUAGACCUAGGGAAAAAUGAGCUCGGAAAUCCGGAGCAAAAGAGGGGUGGUCCCUGAGAAGUCAGUGGCCUGGAUGCUGUGGCUGCUGAAGAAAAAAAGAAGAGGAGGCUGUGCGAGUAGCCGGCCAAGAGCGCCGCAGGUUCCCAGGCAGCUUCUCAUUCCCCUGUCCCUCCCAUCCCGUCUCUUGUUAACAGAAAAACUGCUUUCACUUUAAGAUAAGUGCCGGUUGCAGCCAGCUGUGAGAGCUGCACUCCCGUCUCUGCUCUAAAGUUCCCUCUUCUCAGAAGGUGGCACCACCCUGAGUUGCUGGCAGUGAGUCUGUUCCAAGUUCCAGUGAGGGAGGCAUCCGCCCACUUGGGGCUUCUGUCCAAGGUAAGGAGCACCUGUGAGUCUAACUGCCAGGCUCUGAUGGGGGUCUCGUCUCUGUGGGACUAGAAAGUAUCCCAACAAUCUGACCAAGGUAACAGGAAGAUACAAAAGCAAAGAGAAGGACAGGUUAAGUUGGUAAGAAAGUUAGUGUAAGUAGAUAAGAAAGUGCAGAAGAGGAAAAACAAAGGAAGGAUAGAGGUCUGCAAAAAAGUGAGCUAAAAGCAAAUCUUCAGCAGACUCAGGAGAGAUAGAUGACAGUGGCAAUUAGAGAGGUCUAAAAUGAGAGAGAUACUCUGAAUGAGAAAUAUUUAGAGGAAGAACCAGUAAAUAAGAGUCAGACAAGAAAAAGAGUUAAAGAAACAUAAGGCUGACAAAGACAGAGACCAAAGUCAGAAUCAGAGCUGUGCUGUAAGACAAAAAGAUAAGAGAAAUAAAAUGCUGGUCACAAAAGUCAGGAAAAUUAAAAAAACUUAGAUAGUACCUGGCAACAAAAGAAAGCUUUUGGCUAAAGAUCAACGUGUAUACUGUAAAGAAAAUGAGCACUGGGUGAGAGACUGCCCCAACAAAAAGAAGAGGAGCCCCCCUCAUGACCAAACCCUUCACCUGUUCGUGGCUAAAAGUAAAGAGAUAACAAAAGGGGUGCUAAUACAGAAGCUGAGUCCUUAGAAGAGUCCGGUGGCCUACCUGUUAAAGCAGCUAGAAAAAGAGACUGUGUUUCAUACUCCUCCACCGACCAGUGCAAAACAAGCUAAAAAGUUCCUGGGCACUGCGGGCUUUUGCAGAUUGUGGAUUCCAGGUUUGCUGAGUUAAAGAGAUAAACAGCCCUUCGUAUAUAAAAAUAAAGAACAACCUUGGAUGUCCUUGGAUGCUAUUGAGACUGCCCUAAUGUUAUCCCCAGCUAUGGGACUCCUAGAUGUGACUGAGAACAAAGGUAUUGCCAAAGAAGUUCUUACUCAGAGAUUGGGACCCUGAAAAGGAUCUGUGGCAUACUUGUAAAAAAUUAGACCUGGUGGCUGUAGGAUGGCCUGCUUGUCUGCACAUAGUGGCUUCUGGUCAAGGACGCAGAUAAAUUGACUCUGAGACAAAACUUGGCACAUGUCCUAGAAAGUGUGGUUCAGCCCCCAUGACCGAUGGCUGACUAACGCUCUUAAAAGCAUUAUCCAACUGUUCCCCUGACCGAU
rnacentral:lncRNA from 1 species